AAUCUUUCAUACUUUUAGAAUUCAGGUAAUCUUAGAGAAAUAAAUAGUUCUGUUCCUUGGUAUUUUAUCUCCUUUAUUUUCUAUUGUGAUAGGCAUUUACAAGUAUACUGAAUUUCUCUUGCUUAUGAAUUCAAUUGCUGCUGCUUUUCAAUAAACUGCCUUAAUCCUUUGUUUGGCUAUCAUAGUUACUACCACAGGAAUUAUUAUGCUGCCAACUGGGAACUCAAGAGCUAAAAUGAAGAAUUUUUAAAUUCCCUAUGGAGGUUUGGCUAAGAGCACCAGUGAUGAUUCACCAAGACAAUUCACAGAAGUGAAGAAAUCACCUACUGAUGCAUUCUCUCAGAAAAUAUCUCCAUC
rnacentral:lncRNA from 1 species